GACGAACGCUGGCGGCGUGCCUAAUACAUGCAAGUAGAACGCUGAAGCGAGGAGCUUGCUCUUCUUGGAUUAGUUGCGAACGGGUGAGUAACGCGUAGGUAACCUGCCUUGUAGCGGGGGAUAACUAUUGGAAACGGUAGCUAAUACCGCAUAACAAUGUAUGACACAUGGCAUUUAUUUGAAAGGCGCAAUUGUUCCACUACAAGAAGGACCUGCGUUUGCUUAGCUAGUAGGUGAGGUAAAGGGCCAACUAGGCGAAGGUACAUUGCCGACCUGGGAGGGUGGUCGGCCACACUGGGAACGGGACACGGCCCAGACUUCCUCGGGGAGCAGCAGUAGGGAAUCUUCGGCAAUGGGGGGAACCCUGGCCGGGGAAAGCCGGCGGGGUGAAGGAGGGUUUCGGGUCGUUAAGCUCUGUUGUAAAGCGAGAAAGGUAGGGAGAGUUGAAUGUGCACACUGUGACGGUAGCUUACCAGAAAGGGACGGCUAACUACGUG
rnacentral:rRNA from 1 species